UGGGGAAUUUUGGACAAUGGGCGAAAGCCUGAUCCAGCAAUGCCGCGUGUGUGAAGAAGGCCUUCGGGUUGUAAAGCACUUUUGUCCGGAAAGAAAUCCUUGGCUCUAAUACAGUCGGGGGAUGACGGUACCGGAAGAAUAAGCACCGGCUAACUACGUGCCAGCAGCCGCGGUAAUACGUAGGGUGCAAGCGUUAAUCGGAAUUACUGGGCUAAAGCGUGCGCAGGCGGUUUGCUAAGACCGAUGUGAAAUCCCCGGGCUCAACCUGGGAACUGCAUUGGUGACUGGCAGGCUAGAGUAUGGCAGAGGGGGGUAGAAUUCCACGUGUAGCAGUGAAAUGCGUAGAGAUGUGGAGGAAUACCGAUGGCGAAGGCAGCCCCCUGGCAAGUCACUGACGCUCAUGCACGAAAGCGUGGGGGAGCAAACAGGAUUAGAUACCCCUGGUAGUCCACG
rnacentral:rRNA from 1 species